rnacentral:lncRNA from 1 species
GAAUUUUCGAAAAUUCCACCUGACAACCGAUCAGACAAUAGUUUUAAGUUGAAUCAAUGCAGACAAGAUUAUUAACUGAUGCUCAUUAGCUAGUUGAUACAUUUGUCUUUUAAAAUACAACUGACAUAUAAGGAUCGUAAUGGUGCAAUGUGGAUAAAUUUAUCGGUUUCCAAGAGCAAUAUUGGUAGCGCGUCAUCCCUACAAUGGCUUCCAUUUCUACGAUUGUGAAAAUGAACUGGCGUAAUGGGGAGAUAAUUUUGACGAAGUAGACUCCUGACUGUAUA